ACUCCUACGGGAGGCAGCAGUAGGGAAUCUUCCACAAUGGGCGCAAGCCUGAUGGAGCAACACCGCGUGAGUGAAGAAGGGUUUCGGCUCGUAAAGCUCUGUUGUUAAAGAAGAACACGUACGAGAGUAACUGUUCAUACGUUGACGGUAUUUAACCAGAAAGUCACGGCUAACUACGUGCCAGCAGCCGCGGUAAUACGUAGGUGGCAAGCGUUAUCCGGAUUUAUUGGGGCGUAAAGAGAGUGCAGGCGGUUUUCCAAGUCUGAUGUGAAAGCCUUCGGCUUAACCGGAGAAGUGCAUCGGAAACUGGAUAACUUGAGUGCAGAAGAGGGUAGUGGAACUCCAUGUGUAGCGGUGGAAUGCGUAGAUAUAUGGAAGAACACCAGUGGCGAAGGCGGCUACCUGGUCUGCAACUGACGCUGAGACUCGAAAGCAUGGGUAGCGAACAGGAUUAGAUACCCUGGUAGGAUAGCG
rnacentral:rRNA from 1 species